UACGUAGGGUGCAAGCGUUAAUCGGAAUUACUGGGCGUAAAGCGUGCGCAGGCGGUUUUGUAAGUCAGAUGUGAAAUCCCCGGGCUUAACCUGGGAACUGCGUUUGAAGCUACAAGGCUAGAGUGUGGCAGAGGGGGGUGGAAUUCCACGUGUAGCAGUGAAAUGCGUAGAGAUGUGGAGGAACACCGAUGGCGAAGGCAGCCCCCCUGGGUUAACACUGACGCUCAGGCACGAAAGCGUGGGGAGCAAACAGG
rnacentral:rRNA from 1 species